rnacentral:tRNA from 1 species
GAGCCUGUUUAAGGUAAAGUGUAGAACUGCUAAUUCCUCACCCCGUGGUUCAAUUCCACGGCUUGCUCGU